rnacentral:rRNA from 1 species
GUGGGGAAUUUUGGACAAUGGGCGCAAGCCUGAUCCAGCAAUGCCGCGUGCAGGAAGAAGGCCUUCGGGUUGUAAACUGCUUUUGUACGGAACGAAACGGUCCGGGUUAAUACCCUGGGCUAAUGACGGUACCGUAAGAAUAAGCACCGGCUAACUACGUGCCAGCAGCCGCGGUAAUACGUAGGGUGCAAGCGUUAAUCGGAAUUACUGGGCGUAAAGCGUGCGCAGGCGGUUUUGUAAGACAGGCGUGAAAUCCCCGGGCUCAACCUGGGAAUUGCGCUUGUGACUGCAAGGCUGGAGUGCGGCAGCGGGGGAUGGAAUUCCGCGUGUAGCAGUGAAAUGCGUAGAUAUGCGGAGGAACACCGAUGGCGAAGGCAAUCCCCUGGGCCUGCACUGACGCUCAUGCACGAAAGCGUGGGGAGCAAACAGGAUUAGAUACCCGAGUAGUCC